rnacentral:lncRNA from 1 species
GCUGUUUUGAGGAAGAUAUAAUGAGGCUUAAAUGCAAUAGAGCAUAUCAUGUCACGGAGUUUGGAUGCACCGGCGAAAGUUGCCCCGAUCCUUGAGGUGAGAAUGGGCAUGCACGGUACUGAAGUGGCUAGCAAAUAUGUGGAGGUGAGAGUGCGUAUAUCCGUGGAUUCACAUUAGUCAUAAAAAACUCACAUACUUAUUGUAAG